AACGCACAUUGCGCCCUUUGGCAUUCCGAAGGGCAUACCUGUUCGAGCGUCAUUGCACCUCUCAAGCACAGCUUGGUGAUGGGCGCCUGUCCUCCCGCGCUUUGGCGGCGGGACUCGCCUGAAAAGCAUCGGCGUCCGGUGGCUGGUCUUGCGCGUAGCAGAUUGUUCGCACAAGGGCCGGUCCGCCUGGGCUGCCGCACACGUCCAAUGCAUCUUCGUUUUGACCUCGGAUCAGGUAGGGAUACCCGCUGAACUUAA
rnacentral:misc_RNA from 1 species